UACGUAGGAGGCAAGCGUUGUCCGGAAUUACUGGGCGUAAAGCGCGUGUAGGUGGUGGGACAAGUCUGCUGUGAAAGCGCCUGGCUUAACCGGGCGAGGUCGGCGGAAACUGUCGCACUCGAGGACGGUAGAGGGGGGUGGAAUUCCCGGUGUAGUGGUGAAAUGCGCAGAUAUCGGGAAGAACACCCGUGGCGAAGGCAGGUCUCUGGGCAUUAACUGACGCUGAGGAGCGAAAGCAUGGGGAGCGAACAGG
rnacentral:rRNA from 1 species